AAGCUUGACUGGCUCUUGUGUGUCAGCUCCAGGCUCGCCAGGGAACCCUAGCAACCUCUCGCCUUCCUUGAUGAUGCGAGUCACUUCAGUGAUGAUGACAGUGUCAGGUUCUUUCUGGUCGUGAGGCUCAUCGAAUGGCUUCUUUUGCUUGCCAGGCUUCUUUUCAUUGGCUUCUGGCUUCUCAGGUGUCUCCUUCCAGCCAAAGAUAGUCGAUGUGGGCUCCUUUCCAGGUGUGCCCUCUCUGCUUGGAAGCUUGGUGGGCUCUUGCGUUUCAGCACCAGGCGCUCCUGGGAACCCUGGCUCCUUCUCGCCUUCGUUGAUGAUGCGAGUCACUUCCGUGACGAUGACCGUUUCAGGUUCUUUCAA